rnacentral:ncRNA from 12 species
GGGUUCGAAGGCACACUGUGUGCUUUCGGAGGAUAGACGGGUAGCAAAUGGUCGGGCCGCCAUUCG